UUGUAUUUCCUUCAAUGCUUUGUUUUUAUUUCUGUAAUGCUUCAGGGAAAUGUAAAGACAAGGUCCUGGACAGUAACAGGAUUAUUGUCUUUCUGUCUGAGACAGAGUCAUCAUAGAGAUCUAGUAGAUUAUUUAGAUUAGGGUUGGGGUCAAUUCCUUUACAAAUCAGGAAGUAAACUGAAAGUCCAAUUCCAAUUUUCCUCAAUGCCUCUAUGAGAAAAAUUAUUUUUACUUCCUGAAUUGACAGUAUUGACAUUGAAUUGACCCCAACACUGAUUUAGAGAUAAGAGAGAGACUGUAGUCCUCUUGGGGGAGUAGAGAAGGGGAGGGGAGGCAGGGAGCAGUGUUCCUCUUGGGGGAGUACAGAUGAGGGGAGACAGAGGACAGCCCAGUCUGAUGUAUCAGAGAUGAGGGGAGACAGAGGACAGCCCAGUCUGUUGUAUCAGAGAUGAGGGGAGACAGAGGACAGCCCAGUCUGAUGUAUCAGAGAUGAGGGGAGACAGAGGACAGCCCAGUCUGAUGUAUCAGAGAUGAGGGGAGACAGAGGACAGCCCAGUCUGAUGUAUCAGAGAUGAGGGGAGACAGAGGACAGCCCAGUCUGGUGUAUCAGAGAUGAGGGGAGACAGAGGACAGCCCAGUCUGAUGUAUCAGAGAUGAGGGGAGACAGAGGACAGCCCAGUCUGAUGUAUCAGAGAUGAGGGGAGACAGAGGACAGCUCAGUCUGAUGUAUCAGAGAUGAGGGGAGACAGAGGACAGCCCAGUCUGAUGUAUCAGAGAUGAGGGGAGACAGAGGACAGCCCAGUCUGAUGUAUCAGAGAUGAGGGGAGACAGAGGACAGCCCAGUCUGGUGUAUCAGAGAUGAGGGGAGACAGAGGACAGCCCAGUCUGAUUACUGGAGGUUCUCUUGCUACAGAGAUGGUCUAUUGAAGCUUUUAGUAGCUGACAUUCCUAACAUCAACUGAGAGGAUCUCUGUCCCUCUGAUGGCCCUGUUGGUGUCCACUCUGUCUCUCUGUGUGUGUCCUGUUCUUCUCUGUCUGGGACUAAGGGGGUGUUGUGUAAAUUGAGGGGGGUGGGGUUAGUAGUCUUUUGGCAGCAUCACCCUGCGCCCACCCAUGAAAUAACACAAGGUGAUCUUCCUUCUGAAAGGAAUGUUGUCCAGGGCCUCCACUGCCACCCUCUUGUUGCCCCUGCCGCUGCUCUCCUCCUGGUCGUACAUGGGGCACAUGAAGGCUGUGCGCCUCAGGGCGUAGAUGUCCACCUCGUCCUCGUCGUCCCACGGCUGGUAGGGACGCUGGGAGGGAUCGGCCGACUUGACCAGACGGGGCC
rnacentral:lncRNA from 1 species